AAAGAGGGCCAGGGUGAAGGCGUUCACUCUGCCCCACGUUAUAGAAAGUCACAGGAAACUCGCAGAAUGCUUCAGAGCACAUCUCCAGAGGAAUCAAGUGGUGUCCCUCCCCAGGAACUUCAAGGAUUUUAAACAAUCAAUCCGUGAGUGGCAUGGCUGUGCCUUUGUUUAGAAAGCUUUUGGGGACUGCACCUCUGUGGCUGGCAUAGUGUGAUUCAGUGGGGGUAGCUUCCGUGCGUAACCAGAGUAACUACUGGGGUGUCCUAAAGUAGCAUUUCCACCGUAAUUCUAGUAACGUUGGGGCUCCUUUAAAGAUGCUUUGUGAUGGGGCCUGUUGUGGUGGUACAUGCCUUUAACCCCAGCACUGGAGGCAGAGGCAGAGGCAGAGGCAGAGGCGCAGAGAGGCAGAGAGGCAGAGAGGCAGAGGCAGAGGCAGAGGCAGAGGCAGAGGCAGAGGCAGAGGCAGAGGCAGAG
ensembl:lncRNA